rnacentral:rRNA from 1 species
AUACGGAGGGUGCAAGCGUUGUUCGGAAUUAUUGGGCGUAAAGCGCGUGUAGGCGGUCUGUUAAGUCUGAUGUGAAAGCCCCGGGCUCAACCCGGGAAGUGCAUUGGAUACUGGCAGACUUGAGUAUGGGAGAGGGAAGUGGAAUUUCGAGUGUAGGGGUGAAAUCCGUAGAUAUUCGAAGGAACACCGGUGGCGAAGGCGGCUUCCUGGACCGAUACUGACGCUGAGACGCGAAAGCGUGGGGAGC